CCUACGGGAGGCUGCAGUGAGGAAUAUUGGUCAAUGGCCGGAAGGCUGAACCAGCCAUGCCGCGUGAAGGUCAGUGCCCUAUGGGCGUUAAACUUCUUUUGUGCGGGAGCAAUAAUGGUCACGUGUGGCCAGACGAGAGUACCGUACGAAUAAGAAUCGGCUAACUCCGUGCCAGCAGCCGCGGUAAUACGGGGGAUGCAAGCGUUAUCCGGAUUUAUUGGGUUUAAAGGGUGCGUAGGCUGUGAGGUAAGUCAGCGGUGAAAUGCCCCCGCUCAACGGGGUGAAGUGCCAUUGAUACUGCCUGGCUGGAAUGCGGAUGCCGUGGGAGGAAUGUGUGGUGUAGCGGUGAAAUGCAUAGAUAUCACACAGAACACCGAUUGCGAAGGCAUCUCACGAAGCCGCGAUUGACGCUGAUGCACGAAAGCGUGGGUAUCAAACAGGAUUAGAUACCCGGGUAGUC
rnacentral:rRNA from 1 species